UACGAAGGGUGCAAGCGUUAUUCAGAAUUACUGGGCGUAAAGAGCGUGUCGGCGGCUUAUUAAGUUGAUUGUUAAAUUUCCCGGCUCAACCGGGAGCUCGCAAUCAAAACUGAUUCGCUAGAGUGUGAGAGAGAGAGAUAGAAUUCUCGGAGUAGCGGUAAAAUGCGUAGAUCUCGAGAGGAAUACCGGUUGCGAAGGCGGUCUCUUGGCUCAUUACUGACGCUUAAGCGCGAAAGCGUGGGGAGCAAACAGG
rnacentral:rRNA from 1 species